UUACGGCUACAUCACGUUGAAACACAGGCCCCCGUACGAUCACCAAAGUUAAACAACGUCGAGACUGGUCAGUACCUAGAUAGGUGACCGCUUGGAAAUGCUAGGUUCUGUAA